CAAACUUCGGGCCCCUCUCUCUCCCCUCCUCCCUCAUCUUUUAGGGCGGGGGCUGCUACUCUGUUCCGACCUUCUGGGCAGAGAGGCAUCAGCCAUGCCUUUUAACUGUACAAUUAUGCACAGUCCCUAAAUGUUGUUUUAAUAACAGCGUUUGAAAAAAAAGCCGCAGCGGGUCGGUGUUCAGCAGAGCCGUGAGAUGCCUGCGGCAGCUCGCUGCUUCCCUCGAACACACGCAGACACACCCCUGGGUGGGGGGGCAGCUCCCGGGUAGGGGGACGCAGUGAGCACACACUGAGCACACACUGAGCACACAGCGAGCACACAGUGAGCGCACACCUCUCUGCGCCCUCGCUCCGGGGAGACUCGUGAUGCAGAGAGCAGCGCCCGGUGGCUGCGGGGGCUGACAUGCACUGGCGUGGGAGAGGCACGGAAAGGCUGAGCAGAGGGCGCAGGGAGGCGGUGUCUCCACGCUCACUUCAGUGCAACACACCGCGGAGACGGCGGGGGCAACGCCCGACGCCUCGGGGCUGCGCGACCCUAAUGGUCCCAGUGACCGGCAGCGGUGUUGCCGGCAGAGCCCCUCAGGCACCCCGAGCUUCCCGGCUUCAGCAGCCGCACCGCUCCCUAGAGUGGUCCCCUCCCUCCUCCCGAGCCCGUCUGAAGGUGCACAAGCCUGGGGCUCGUUUCCCGUCCAAAGACUCAGUGUAAGGGGUGCUGUGAAGGAGACCCGAACACCUUCAUAUCUCAAUUUUUCUUCCUUGGAUAGGAAAUAUGUAUGUGGAAGGGAGGCGUGGGUCGAGAUCGUAAAUUUCAUUGAUUACUUACAGAUUGUACAGAAUAUAUUCAAGCUUUCAUGACAGCUUCUGGAGACAUAACGACUGGACAAUAUUGCCCGAAUAGUAUAAAGUCUCUUUAACUACUACAAAGAAAUCAGCAGGUGAUUAUAGGCUCGACUGUAUACAUAAUAGGCAUCGGAUAUCGGAGAAUAACUGUAAGCAGCGAUUCUGAGCAAGAAGAGGAAGAAUAAUGCUUCAAACUCCCAUACAAUAGCUACUCAUUGUGCUGGGCGUCUUAUUAUAAUUAGAGAUACCUGCACAGCAUUGCAAAUAUAGACGAGACACGCACAUCCUUACUCUUAAUGCCAGUAAAAUUCAUCCCUCAAAAAAUGAAGAUAGAAAGACAAAUAAAAGGGUGAUGAUGCCGAGAUGUGCCCUGCACCUCUUGAGCGCGCUAUGUGCCGGGCAGAACGAGAGCGGCUCGGUGGGGGCAUUUCGGACAAUAUUGGAGCUGCUGGCAAAGCAAUUGUCCUCUAGGUGACCAGAGAACUGACUCUGCAUAGGGAACACUGAUAAACAUAAACGAGAGUUUGGCCAAAAUGUACUGAAAUCGACAAUAGCUUGGGGAGCAUCGCACAGCUCUUGUUUCAUUUGGAGUUUUUCGUACUUGAAAUUAUUUUUACUGACUUAAGAAAAAUUGAGAAGGCACCUAAAUGAGUACAAAUGCACAUCUCUGAGACGGACUUUGUUCCUUUAAACAAAUUAUUUCCUUUUGAAAUCACUCUACCUGAGCAGAAUCAUCUUUCUCUCCUCUCACCAGCAAUCCUAGCAGACCCUAAGCCCCAGCAAAACCGAGGAGAACGCUCCUAACCACCCCCAGCCCCUCCUCUCGAUGUCGGUGCCCAUUUCACGUGAGGGCUCCCUCCAUUUCCGUUCCUUACAGGUGCUGUUUCCCCCCCGGGCUGCCGGGGCCGAGCCGAGGCAGAGGGACCCGUGAGGAUGUGCGUGGUGGUCCCGCACCGCCCGUCCCGCAGCCCCGUCCCGGCUCUUCCUGCCCGAGGGAAGCAGCAGCGGAUCCCCACCCGCUUCGCAGUGAGUUCGCCUGGCCUUGGAGUUCUCUUUGCCUCCAGGCAUAGGCUCCUGUCUAAACCGCGCCAUGAAAAUAAAACACAGAGGGAGAGAAGGAGGGGAAGUUGUGUUUCCCAAAACUGAAAGACAGUAAAAAAAGGUCGUCAAAAAUAUCCAGAUGAAGACAGUAAAGGAAGAACAUCAACAACUUUAGGGACGGGAUUCUAAGAGCGAAAAUGGUUUCAGGCUAAAAUGACAUUAAAAAUCACGAGGGCACGUUUUCUUCGCAGCGCGGCUUUCACACACGAGCAUAUAACACACAUGAGAAAACACGUUUUAAGAAUUGAACUUACCCCCGCCUGCCAAAUCCUCCCAACUUGUGGGACUGUUCCUUAGCGCUGCACACAACCUGGUCCUCCAAGCCCUGCGUUAAGCACUGCUGAUACAGUGGAACAGGAAUAAAAUUGAAAAGAAAAGUUUUUGUCAUUUAUUUUGAAAUAGAGUAAUCUCCUUCAAAUGUCUCGGAUUUCUUUACAACCCACUGGCUACGGUCCUAUAAACACCACCUGGGCAGUUUCACAAGCUUUAAAGUUUUGUGUGAGUGCGUGUGUGUAUGUGUGUGUGUGUGCGUGUGUGUGUGUGCGGGUGUGUGCGUGUGUGCAGUAAGUUGUUAUAAAGGCAUCGUUACCAUGCGGAGGUAUUAACGUGUUGCCCUGAUCUUUGGCGUUGGGGGGGAGGGGGGUUAUUUUUUGGAUUUGGGAAGUUUUUCGACACGCACCUCUUACUUUGCUUAACUUUUUAAAGAUGAGAAAAGCUGGAAGCUUUAGCUUUCGGGAGACUUUUCUCGUUAUUCA